rnacentral:rRNA from 3 species
UUAAGUUAUUAAGGGCGCACGGUGGAUGCCUUGGCACUAGAAGCCGAUGAAGGACGUUACUAACGACGAUAUGCUUUGGGGAGCUGCAAGUAAGCUUUGAUCCAGAGAUUUCCGAAUGGGGAAACCCAGCAUGAGUUAUGUCAUGUUAUCGAUAUGUGAAUACAUAGCAUAUCAGAAGGCACACCCGGAGAACUGAAACAUCUUAGUACCCGGAGGAAGAGAAAGAAAAUUCGAUUCCCUUAGUAGCGGCGAGCGAAACGGGAAGAGCCCAAACCAACAAGCUUGCUUGUUGGGGUUGUAGGACACUCUAUACGGAGUUACAAAGGACGACAUUAGACGAAUCAUCUGGAAAGAUGAAUCAAAGAAGGUAAUAAUCCUGUAGUCGAAAAUGUUGUCUCUCUUGAGUGGAUCCUGAGUACGACGGAGCACGUGAAAUUCCGUCGGAAUCUGGGAGGACCAUCUCCUAAGGCUAAAUACUCUCUAGUGACCGAUAGUGAACCAGUACCGUGAGGGAAAGGUGAAAAGCACCCCGGAAGGGGAGUGAAAUAGAACCUGAAACCGUGUGCUUACAAGUAGUCAGAGCCCGUUAAUGGGUGAUGGCGUGCCUUUUGUAGAAUGAACCGGCGAGUUACGAUUUGAUGCAAGGUUAAGCAGUAAAUGUGGAGCCGUAGCGAAAGCGAGUCUGAAUAGGGCGUUUAGUAUUUGGUCGUAGACCCGAAACCAGGUGAUCUACCCUUGGUCAGGUUGAAGUUCAGGUAACACUGAAUGGAGGACCGAACCGACUUACGUUGAAAAGUGAGCGGAUGAACUGAGGGUAGCGGAGAAAUUCCAAUCGAACCUGGAGAUAGCUGGUUCUCUCCGAAAUAGCUUUAGGGCUAGCCUCAAGUGAUGAUUAUUGGAGGUAGAGCACUGUUUGGACGAGGGGCCCCUCUCGGGUUACCGAAUUCAGACAAACUCCGAAUGCCAAUUAAUUUAACUUGGGAGUCAGAACAUGGGUGAUAAGGUCCGUGUUCGAAAGGGAAACAGCCCAGACCACCAGCUAAGGUCCCAAAAUAUAUGUUAAGUGGAAAAGGAUGUGGCGUUGCCCAGACAACUAGGAUGUUGGCUUAGAAGCAGCCAUCAUUUAAAGAGUGCGUAAUAGCUCACUAGUCGAGUGACACUGCGCCGAAAAUGUACCGGGGCUAAACAUAUUACCGAAGCUGUGGAUUGUCCUUUGGACAAUGGUAGGAGAGCGUUCUAAGGGCGUUGAAGCAUGAUCGUAAGGACAUGUGGAGCGCUUAGAAGUGAGAAUGCCGGUGUGAGUAGCGAAAGACGGGUGAGAAUCCCGUCCACCGAUUGACUAAGGUUUCCAGAGGAAGGCUCGUCCGCUCUGGGUUAGUCGGGUCCUAAGCUGAGGCCGACAGGCGUAGGCGAUGGAUAACAGGUUGAUAUUCCUGUACCACCUAUAAUCGUUUUAAUCGAUGGGGGGACGCAGUAGGAUAGGCGAAGCGUGCGAUUGGAUUGCACGUCUAAGCAGUAAGGCUGAGUAUUAGGCAAAUCCGGUACUCGUUAAGGCUGAGCUGUGAUGGGGAGAAGACAUUGUGUCUUCGAGUCGUUGAUUUCACACUGCCGAGAAAAGCCUCUAGAUAGAAAAUAGGUGCCCGUACCGCAAACCGACACAGGUAGUCAAGAUGAGAAUUCUAAGGUGAGCGAGCGAACUCUCGUUAAGGAACUCGGCAAAAUGACCCCGUAACUUCGGGAGAAGGGGUGCUCUUUAGGGUUAACGCCCAGAAGAGCCGCAGUGAAUAGGCCCAAGCGACUGUUUAUCAAAAACACAGGUCUCUGCUAAACCGUAAGGUGAUGUAUAGGGGCUGACGCCUGCCCGGUGCUGGAAGGUUAAGAGGAGUGGUUAGCUUCUGCGAAGCUACGAAUCGAAGCCCCAGUAAACGGCGGCCGUAACUAUAACGGUCCUAAGGUAGCGAAAUUCCUUGUCGGGUAAGUUCCGACCCGCACGAAAGGCGUAACGAUUUGGGCACUGUCUCAACGAGAGACUCGGUGAAAUCAUAGUACCUGUGAAGAUGCAGGUUACCCGCGACAGGACGGAAAGACCCCGUGGAGCUUUACUGUAGCCUGAUAUUGAAAUUCGGCACAGCUUGUACAGGAUAGGUAGGAGCCUUUGAAACGUGAGCGCUAGCUUACGUGGAGGCGCUGGUGGGAUACUACCCUAGCUGUGUUGGCUUUCUAACCCGCACCACUUAUCGUGGUGGGAGACAGUGUCAGGCGGGCAGUUUGACUGGGGCGGUCGCCUCCUAAAAGGUAACGGAGGCGCUCAAAGGUUCCCUCAGAAUGGUUGGAAAUCAUUCAUAGAGUGUAAAGGCAUAAGGGAGCUUGACUGCGAGACCUACAAGUCGAGCAGGGUCGAAAGACGGACUUAGUGAUCCGGUGGUUCCGCAUGGAAGGGCCAUCGCUCAACGGAUAAAAGCUACCCCGGGGAUAACAGGCUUAUCUCCCCCAAGAGUUCACAUCGACGGGGAGGUUUGGCACCUCGAUGUCGGCUCAUCGCAUCCUGGGGCUGUAGUCGGUCCCAAGGGUUGGGCUGUUCGCCCAUUAAAGCGGUACGCGAGCUGGGUUCAGAACGUCGUGAGACAGUUCGGUCCCUAUCCGUCGUGGGCGUAGGAAAUUUGAGAGGAGCUGUCCUUAGUACGAGAGGACCGGGAUGGACAUACCUCUGGUGUACCAGUUGUCGUGCCAACGGCAUAGCUGGGUAGCUAUGUGUGGACGGGAUAAGUGCUGAAAGCAUCUAAGCAUGAAGCCCCCCUCAAGAUGAGAUUUCCCAACUUCGGUUAUAAGAUCCCUCAAAGAUGAUGAGGUUAAUAGGUUCGAGGUGGAAGCAUGGUGACAUGUGGAGCUGACGAAUACUAAUCGAUCGAAGACUUAAUCAA